GCCAGUAUCAAACCCUCUCCUGUCCACUCAGACUGCAAGAUUGUUCUUUAGCUUUAUGCAAGACUUUACAGCCUUCUUCAUCGGAUUGAUUAGCCGGUGCACACUCUCCUGGUAAAUGCUUCAGCCUUCUGUUCUUGACCUCGAGUUCUGCCUCUGUGUCCUUGGAUCCUGUCUGCUCCUCUCCUUGGCCGCUUGACAUUUCCUUGCGUCGAUCCAACAGUCGAACACCCUACCCCACUGGGUCCGUAUCUGAAAGUGUGAGCGUAGCCAUCAGAAGCUGCACAAGAUCACAGAACUUCAAGAUCAGCUUCAUGUGAGCUCUGCUGAAAAAAGCCUCGGCUAGUAUUUGAAACGGAGCAGAAUGGAGGGGCGCUGCUGGUUCGCGCCGGGCCUGAGGAUACACAUCAUUGACGAGAGAGGGGGCUAUUGGCUCCGUAGUGCGCUGCGCGGAAAUAAAGCUGCUAGUGUCUUAUUGACUCUCUUGUUGGCUAAUAAAGGUUAAACAAGUAAACCUGUUAGUUGACAUCCCCGUGCCCCUAUUGAGGAAGGUUUAUGUACUGAGACCGGCCCUUGAGACUGAAGGUAGAAGUCUGUAAGUGAGUGUGCAGAGCGCAAACUGGGAGGAAGACGGGUCACAGCACUUACCGUCAUCGACCUCAGGC